UAGGGAAUCUUCCGCAAUGGGCGAAAGCCUGACGGAGCAACGCCGCGUGAGUGAUGAAGGUCUUCGGAUCGUAAAACUCUGUUAUUAGGGAAGAACAAAUGGGUAAGUAACUAUGCACGUCUUGACGGUACCUAAUCAGAAAGCCACGGCUAACUACGUGCCAGCAGCCGCGGUAAUCCGUAGGUGGCAAGCGUUAUCCGGAAUUAUUGGGCGUAAAGCGCGCGUAGGCGGUUUUUUAAGUCUGAUGUGAAAGCCCACGGCUCAACCGUGGAGGGUCAUUGGAAACUGGAAAACUUGAGUGCAGAAGAGGAAAGUGGAAUUCCAGGUGUAGCGGUGAAAUGCGCAGAGAUAUGGAGGAACACCAGUGGCGAAGGCGACUUUCUGGUCUGUAACUGACGCUGAUGUGCGAAAGCGUGGGGAUCAAACAGG
rnacentral:rRNA from 1 species